CCUACGGGGGGCUGCAGUGGGGGAUAUUGCACAAUGGGCGAAAGCCUGAUGCAGCAACGCCGCGUGAGGGAAGAAGGUUUUCGGAUUGUAAACCUCUGUCCUCGGUGAAGAAACAAAUGACGGUAGCCGAGGAGGAAGCCACGGCUAACUACGUGCCAGCAGCCGCGGUAAUACGUAGGUGGCAAGCGUUGUCCGGAUUUACUGGGUGUAAAGGGAGCGCAGGCGGGAAGGCAAGUCAGACGUGAAAACUAUGGGCUCAACCCAUAACGUGCGUUUGAAACUGCUUUUCUUGAGUGAAGUAGAGGUAGGCGGAAUUCCGAGUGUAGCGGUGAAAUGCGUAGAUAUUCGGAGGAACACCAGUGGCGAAGGCGGCCUACUGGGCUUUUACUGACGCUGAGGCUCGAAAGUGUGGGGAGCAAACAGGAUUAGAUACCCUAGUAGUC
rnacentral:rRNA from 1 species